GACGAACGCUGGCGGCGUGCUUAACACAUGCAAGUCGAACGGAAAGGCCCUGCUUUUGUGGGGUGCUCGAUUGGCGAACGGGUGAGUAACACGUGUGGAACCUGCACUUGUCUUUGUGAGAACUUCUGGAAACUGGGGCUCAUAUAGGAGAGGAUCUACUGCUGCAUGGUGUGGGAUGGAAAGUGUCGGCUGUUGGGGAUGUACUCGCUGCUUAUGAGCUUGUUUGUGGGGUAGUGGCUUACCAGGGUUUUGACGGGUAGCCGGCCUUAGAGCGUUAACGGCCACCAUGGGCCUGAGAGACGGAGCAGAAGCCUACGGGAGGCAGCAGUGGAGAAUAUGGCAGAACGGGGGGACGCCUGUGGUAGAAGCCCCGGGUGCGGGAUGCCGGCUUUCGGGUUAUAAACAGAUGUCGCAUGUGCCGAACAGUGAGUGACGGUAAUGGGUCAAGAAGCCCCGGCUAACUACGUG
rnacentral:rRNA from 1 species